rnacentral:rRNA from 1 species
AUUGAACGCUGGCGGCAGGCUUAACACAUGCAAGUCGAGCGGGGGAAGGUAGCUUGCUACCUAACCUAGCGGCGGACGGGUGAGUAAUGCUUAGGAAUCUGCCUAUUAGUGGGGGACAACAUUCCGAAAGGAAUGCUAAUACCGCAUACGUCCUACGGGAGAAAGCAGGGGAUCUUCGGACCUUGCGCUAAUAGAUGAGCCUAAGUCGGAUUAGCUAGUUGGUGGGGUAAAGGCCUACCAAGGCGACGAUCUGUAGCGGGUCUGAGAGGAUGAUCCGCCACACUGGGACUGAGACACGGCCCAGACUCCUACGGGAGGCAGCAGUGGGGAAUAUUGGACAAUGGGCGGAAGCCUGAUCCAGCCAUGCCGCGUGUGUGAAGAAGGCCUUUUGGUUGUAAAGCACUUUAAGCGAGGAGGAGGCUACUCUAGUUAAUACCUAGAGAUAGUGGACGUUACUCGCAGAAUAAGCACCGGCUAACUCUGUGCCAGCAGCCGCGGUAAUACAGAGGGUGCGAGCGUUAAUCGGAUUUACUGGGCGUAAAGCGUGCGUAGGCGGCUGAUUAAGUCGGAUGUGAAAUCCCUGAGUUUAACUUAGGAAUUGCAUUCGAUACUGGUCAGCUAGAGUAUGGGAGAGGAUGGUAGAAUUCCAGGUGUAGCGGUGAAAUGCGUAGAGAUCUGGAGGAAUACCGAUGGCGAAGGCAGCCAUCUGGCCUAAUACUGACGCUGAGGUACGAAAGCAUGGGGAGCAAACAGGAUUAGAUACCCUGGUAGUCCAUGCCGUAAACGAUGUCUACUAGCCGUUGGGGCCUUUGAGGCUUUAGUGGCGCAGCUAACGCGAUAAGUAGACCGCCUGGGGAGUACGGUCGCAAGACUAAAACUCAAAUGAAUUGACGGGGGCCCGCACAAGCGGUGGAGCAUGUGGUUUAAUUCGAUGCAACGCGAAGAACCUUACCUGGUCUUGACAUAGUAAGAACUUUCCAGAGAUGGAUUGGUGCCUUCGGGAACUUACAUACAGGUGCUGCAUGGCUGUCGUCAGCCCGUGUCGUGAGAUGUUGGGUUAAGUCCCGCAACGAGCGCAACCCUUUUCCUUACUUGCCAGCAUUUCGGAUGGGAACUUUAAGGAUACUGCCAGUGACAAACUGGAGGAAGGCGGGGACGACGUCAAGUCAUCAUGGCCCUUACGACCAGGGCUACACACGUGCUACAAUGGUCGGUACAAAGGGUUGCUACCUAGCGAUAGGAUGCUAAUCUCAAAAAGCCGAUCGUAGUCCGGAUUGGAGUCUGCAACUCGACUCCAUGAAGUCGGAAUCGCUAGUAAUCGCGGAUCAGAAUGCCGCGGUGAAUACGUUCCCGGGCCU